CCUACGGGUGGCAGCAGUGGGGAAUAUUGGUCAAUGGAGGAAACUCUGACCCAGCAACGCCGCGUGAAUGAUGAAGGUCUUCGGAUUGUAAAGUUCUUUUCUAAGGGAAGAAGAAAGUGACGGUACCUUAGGAAUAAGCCUCGGCUAACUACGUGCCAGCAGCCGCGGUAAUACGGAAGGUCCGGGCGUUAUCCGGAUUUAUUGGGUUUAAAGGGAGCGUAGGCCGGUCUUUAAGCGUGCCGUGAAAUUUUGUGGCUCAACCAUGAGAGUGCGGCGCGAACUGGAGACCUUGAGUGCGCGGAAGGCAGGCGGAAUUCGUGGUGUAGCGGUGAAAUGCUUAGAUAUCACGAAGAACCCCGAUUGCGAAGGCAGCCUGCCGCAGCGUUACUGACGCUGAAGCUCGAAAGCGCGGGUAUCGAACAGGAUUAGAUACCCGUGUAGUC
rnacentral:rRNA from 1 species